ensembl:snoRNA Gm25419 predicted gene, 25419
AAGACUAUACUUUCAGGGAUCAUUUCUAUAGUUCAUUACUAGAGAAGUUUCUCUGACUGUGCAGAGCACCCACAACCACCUGAGCGUGAAGCCGGCUCUAGGUGCUGCUUGAUUGCAGCUGCCUCUUGCCAUUGAUGAUUGUUCUUCUCUCCUUUGGGAAGGUGAGAGGGAGGGAACACAGUCUGAGUGGA